rnacentral:rRNA from 1 species
AUUUAGUGGGGGGAGAAAAAGCCCCACACAAGCCAAUGGACCCAUACCCCGAGUUGGAAGAUCUUAUUCGCCCCACAUUGGGGAUUGAAACCCGGCCCCAAAUUCCUUAGGGGAGGGCUGCAGUAGGGAAUUUUUCCCCAAUGGGGGAAACCCUGAUGGAAAAACGCCGCGUGUGUGAUGAAGGCUUUCGGGUCGUAAAGCACUGUUGUAUGGGAAGAACAGCUAGAAUAGGAAAUGAUUUUAGUUUGACGGUACCAUACCAGAAAGGGACGGCUAAAUACGUGCCAGCAGCCGCGGUAAUACGUAUGUCCCGAGCGUUAUCCGGAUUUAUUGGGCGUAAAGCGAGCGCAGACGGUUUAUUAAGUCUGAUGUGAAAGCCCGGAGCUCAACUCCGGAAUGGCAUUGGAAACUGGUUAACUUGAGUGCAGUAGAGGUAAGUGGAACUCCAUGUGUAGCGGUGGAAUGCGUAGAUAUAUGGAAGAACACCAGUGGCGAAGGCGGCUUACUGGACUGCAACUGACGUUGAGGCUCGAAAGUGUGGGUAGCAAACAGGAUUAGAUACCCUGGUAGUCCACACCGUAAACGAUGAACACUAGGUGUUAGGAGGUUUCCGCCUCUUAGUGCCGAAGCUAACGCAUUAAGUGUUCCGCCUGGGGAGUACGACCGCAAGGUUGAAACUCAAAGGAAUUGACGGGGACCCGCACAAGCGGUGGAGCAUGUGGUUUAAUUCGAAGCAACGCGAAGAACCUUACCAGGUCUUGACAUCCUUUGAAGCUUUUAGAGAUAGAAGUGUUCUCUUCGGAGACAAAGUGACAGGUGGUGCAUGGUCGUCGUCAGCUCGUGUCGUGAGAUGUUGGGUUAAGUCCCGCAACGAGCGCAACCCUUAUUGUUAGUUGCCAGCAUUCAGAUGGGCACUCUAGCGAGACUGCCGGUGACAAACCGGAGGAAGGCGGGGACGACGUCAGAUCAUCAUGCCCCUUAUGACCUGGGCUACACACGUGCUACAAUGGCGUAUACAACGAGUUGCCAGCCCGCGAGGGUGAGCUAAUCUCUUAAAGUACGUCUCAGUUCGGAUUGUAGUCUGCAACUCGACUACAUGAAGUCGGAAUCGCUAGUAAUCGCGGAUCAGCACGCCGCGGUGAAUACGUUCCCGGGUCUUGUACACACCGCCCGUCACACCAUGGGAGUUUGUAAUGCCCAAAGCCGGUGGCCUAACCUUUAGGAAGGAGCCGUCUAAGCAGACAGAGGGG